AUUCGGGAAAAUCAUAGCAUCUAUGUACAGAUCCGGGCAUCGGUGAAAAGUAAUUCAAUAGUAUUGUUAUGCAUUAUCAUCGCAAACUCUCUCUGUAUUUAAUCCUUCAAUUCUAAAACAAGAAUAACAUAAUGAUAUUUAAUUGGUCUUAUACCAUAAUCUCAUAGUCAUUUUGAUAUGUAUACACAUACAUAUAUCUUGCAUCGUCUUAUUAAUUCAGGUCAUAUUAAAUUAAUAUGAGUAGAAAAAACAAGGAAAGAUAAAAUUUCUACUCCUUCCUAUUGAAUUAAAGUGUUGCUUCUGGUUUCAUGAUGAUGAGAAGAUCCAGGGCCCUCCCCUACAAACCAGGCCCUGUCCCACGUUUCGAUGAACUUGGUUCGACACUAGCUUUAACAUUUCGAAACUGUAAUGCUCCAUUUCCUUCGCCUUGAUGGUUUUAAAAGCCAAGAAAUAUACAUAUGAGAUCCAAGAAUUCAAUAUGAAUUUUGUUAUGAUGAGUGAAACUUAUAUGAAACUAAUUAAUUACUAUAAGUAAUAAGAUCAAGAUGGGCAAAUUUAUAAGAAAUUAAUUACUAUAAGUAGAAAAUACGAUCAAGAUGGUCAAACUUACUUGGCAAGGUUCGGCCCAUAGUUGUGUUGCACACAGAGAGUAAGAGAAGAAUCAUCAAAGUGAUCAAGGAUAAAACCUGACGAUUCAUUUCUUUUCUUUUUCUUUUGUUUCUUGUGGUUAAGACUAAUGUGAGAGGGUUGUGUUAUUAGUUGAUGCUAUACAUCACUUAUAUAUAGGAAAAGGAGAGUUGGUGGAUCCUUAAUACAAGUGUAUGUAUAUACACUAUAAGUUCGUUAAUAUCGCAUAUUUG
rnacentral:lncRNA from 1 species